GAUGAACGCAGGCGGCGUGCCUAAUACAUGCAAGUCGAGCGAACAGACGAGGAGCUUGCUCCUCUGACGUUAGCGGCGGACGGGUGAGUAACACGUGGAUAACCUACCUAUAAGACUGGGAUAACUUCGGGAAACCGGAGCUAAUACCGGAUAAUAUAUUGAACCGCAUGGUUCAAUAGUGAAAGACGGUUUUGCUGUCACUUAUAGAUGGAUCCGCGCCGCAUUAGCUAGUUGGUAAGGUAACGGCUUACCAAGGCAACGAUGCGUAGCCGACCUGAGAGGGUGAUCGGCCACACUGGAACUGAGACACGGUCCAGACUCCUACGGGAGGCAGCAGUAGGGAAUCUUCCGCAAUGGGCGAAAGCCUGACGGAGCAACGCCGCGUGAGUGAUGAAGGUCUUCGGAUCGUAAAACUCUGUUAUUAGGGAAGAACAAAUGUGUAAGUAACUAUGCACGUCUUGACGGUACCUAAUCAGAAAGCCACGGCUAACUACGUG
rnacentral:rRNA from 1 species